GACGUAGGGUGCAAGCGUUAAUCGGAAUUACUGGGCGUAAAGCGUGCGCAGGCGGUUUGGAAAGAAAGGUGUGAAAUCCCAGAGCUUAACUUUGGAACUGCACUUUUAACUGCCAAGCUAGAGUAUGUCAGAGGGGGGUAGAAUUCCACGUGUAGCAGUGAAAUGCGUAGAGAUGUGGAGGAAUACCGAUGGCGAAGGCAGCCCCCUGGGAUAAUACUGACGCUCAUGCACGAAAGCGUGGGGAGCAAACAGG
rnacentral:rRNA from 1 species